rnacentral:rRNA from 1 species
UACGAAGGGGGCUAGCGUUGCUCGGAAUCACUGGGCGUAAAGGGCACGUAGGCGGCUCGGCAAAUCGGUCGUGGAAUCCCGACGCUUACCGUCGGAACGGCGGCCGAAAAUACCGGGCUCGAGGGCGUGAGGGGUCACUGGAACUCCUGGUGAAGCGGUGAAAUGCGUAGAUAUCAGGAGGAACGCCGGAGGCGAAAGCGAGUGACUGGCGCGUUCCUGACGCUGAGGUGCGAAAGCUAGGGGAGCAAACAGG